rnacentral:lncRNA from 1 species
UUUUGCUUCUAAAUUCGACGAUCAUAUGUAAAGGAUCUAGUAACUUGACACAGCUAUCUUUUCAGUGCGAUGAUUGGAAAUACGAGUACCCAGAAGAAAAUGGCGUCACAAAUAUGUGUAACAUGACAGUGAAGGACGGUUCGGAGUUCAUGUUUUUCGAGUGAAUUUAAAGGUAGAUUAAUUAGAUUGAAUGUAAUAUUUGAAGAAAUUGAAACUUUCAAAACAAAAUGUGUAGUUGAACCAAAACAAUGGGUCUGGACCUUCCCAGGAGAAAAAGGAGCAACACAUUUUCUAAAGUGGCCACAGGAAUAUCGUGUAUGGUCUCUCGGGCUCUUAGAUUCGCGUACAUUUGGUCCAGUUGAUAUUCGUAUAACAGUCCAAGGAAACUGUCCAGUUAUUAUUGGACAAAACGAGACCACACAAAGAAUAGGACUUGCUUUGUUACAGAUGGCAAACAAAGCAUCGGAUUUGCCUGGAGCUAACGUGGAAUAUGGAUAUGGCUAUGUAUGUUAUCAUGAAAGAGUGUACAUUGAUAGUCCAUUUAUGUACAGCUUAUGUCUGCAUAUCAUUUGUCCAUUUGAAGCAUUAGGAUACAGAUGCUGCAAUACUAUAUAUGAAAUUGGAAAUAAUAAAACUCGAGUAGUUUGUGACGGAGAAGUAAUUCAUUAUGACGAAGCUUGGUGGAUAGUUCCAUUUAUAAUUGGCAUUCUCAUGUUUGCUAAUGUGCCUCUUUUGCUCGUGAAACCGUUUCAGAAGCAGAGAAGAUGCAAAGGUUUUCACACAAUCGAUUUAUUACAAUCGGGAAUUUACAAUGAAGACUGGCUUAUUGCUAAUCCCUUGUCAUUUUGCAGGAUUAUAAGAUCUCCAUUCAUAUAUUUCGGUGAAAAAUUCCCAAGAAUGGCUGGCGUUAUUUUAAGAUUUUUAGUAACAAUGUGCAGUGUAUUGAUUUUGAUAAUUCAAAUUUUAGUACAUUACAACUACGACUAUAAAUAUACAUUAGACCUCGUUAAAGCAGGUGUUCCAUUGGCGUUCAGAUCCAUGGUCACUGGAUAUCAUUACAGCAAGCAUAAUUUUAUGCCUCGUCUUGGAGGACCCUACGUCGGUCUCGCAUUUUAUCUCAUAACGACAGCUGUUCUCGUUUGUUUACCACGUGAUUUAGAAACCUUCAUUGACAAAGGUAUACCAAAUAACGUUCAAUUAUCCGUGUCCCCAAUCACAAUAGAUCUCAAAACGAGAGGAAAACUCGGUGCAGUUUUUGAUAUAGAAAGGCAACAUGGCUAUCAAAAAAUCUAUAGUUUGAUGAAAGCACACAUUUUUAUGCUAAUAAACCCAUCAUUUUGGAAACUCGCGAUACAAAUGCAGCUUAGAAGAUUUUUGGGAUUACUAAACAUUGCCACACAAAAGAAAUCUUUGAAAGUUUCACUUUUGGUUGUGCUUUUUAUACCAUAUUUCUUCGUUUUUUGCGUUGCAGAAUUGCUACUUGCAGUGACCUAUUAUGGAUUUCCUAUCUUUUUAUUCUUCCAGGUGACUGUUUGUGCGUACUGUAAAGAAAUUAAGACGAUAAUCACACGUUUCGGGGUAAUUGGGAAUAUUAUCCGGUACUUAUUAACACUCUCAGUAGUCGGCUUGCUUGUAUUUAAUAUUUAUAUCUUAACUGUGGUUUUUGUUGACAGUUUUCAUUUUAUAACGAGAGUCAUCAUGUUUACCUUCACUGGAUUAAUUGCGUAUCCCGGUACUACAUACGGGUAUUUUGUCUUUGCCAUCACCAUACUAAUGUAUGUUAUGGAAGCGAUACAGCAUAUAAGAACCGGAUAUUCAAAACUAUUCAACCUUGUCAGAAAAUGUUGUAUGAAGAUUCACAACAAUAAUUCCUUUCCUAACAUUUCCCUUAUUAAACAGUGUAACGGCUUCUACGUGAUUUCACGAGAACUAUUCUUUUUUGUUGUUUCUCGUCACCGACCUAUUCGAGUUGAAAUAUUUUUUUCAUUCCUGAAACUUGUUUUUAUCACAUUUUUGAUGUACCUUGCUAUUCAUACUAUUGUUAAACUACAAGGACUUUGGGAUAUCAAUCCGCUCACACAAGUAGUUACUGCACUUUUUAUUUGUCUCAUUCCAAAGCUAUGGCAUAAAAUGAUGACAAGAGACGAAUUUCUAGUUGAUAUGCGAGAAGCAUUUGUAAUUCAAAAACUAAUUGCUGACUACUGCAGACAAAAACUGUAUACCAGAGAACAUAUAAUAAAUACUGACUUAGGUAAUGGUGACCAAGAAAACCAAAAUGAACACCAAUCUUUACUCGGGGGCAAUAUCGACCGAGGUUAUUACUCGAUAGCCAGUAAAGACGCUGAGUCUGAAGACGAUGAAAUGCGGGCAGAUCUUCUUUUAGACCUAGCAAAUGAGCUGUGAUCAAAUCUUUUAUUGUAAAUGUCUAUGGUUUUGAUAUUUUUCAUAAAUAAACCUUAUUGAUAGUGUGUAUUUAACCUUGAUACUGCGUUGUACUUACGGUCCAAAGUAAUACGUGACUGGACAACUUUUACGAUAAUAUCAUUUAUAAAGCUAACAAAUUAUGACAUUGUUAUUUUACUUUUUUUUCUUUUUGAAGUUGCAUCCAUAUUGAUUAUUACUGUUAUUGUUCAAUCGUUCCGUCAUUAAUUUUUGUCAUUUGUAUUUUAUUUUUGAAGAGGGGGUUGAACGAAAUACGAUAUGAGUCAUAGCUUUAUUAAAGCAAGACUAUUGAAUACAUUCUUUGAUAUUCACAUCAUUGUGUCAUUGAUAUUCUGUAAAAAUUUCAUUAUCGGCAUUUUAUGUUCUAUAUAAAUAAGAAGAUGGGGUAUGAGUGAUAAUGAGUCAAAUCACAAUGUAUUAACAAUUAUAUAUAGGUCAGAGUACGGCCUUAUAUUUCCAAUUGGUUUGUUUAUACGAAAUAAUUAAGUUUGACAUACUUGGGAAGGACUGCUACGAAUGAUUCAGACAACAAAGAUAAAAUUGAGAAUGGAAAUGGGGAAUGUGUCAAAGAGACAACAACCUGACCAUAGAACAGACAACAAAAGAAGGUCACCAACAGGUCUUCAAUGCAGCGAGAAAUUUCCGCACCCGAAGGCGUCCUUUAGCUGGCCCCUAAACAAAUAUAUGUACUAGUUCAGUGAUAAUGAACACCAUACUAAACACCAAAUUGUACACAA